rnacentral:rRNA from 1 species
AGUGAACGCUGGCGGUAGGCCUAACACAUGCAAGUCGAACGGCAGCACAGUAAGAGCUUGCUCUUACGGGUGGCGAGUGGCGGACGGGUGAGGAAUACAUCGGAAUCUACUUUUUCGUGGGGGAUAACGUAGGGAAACUUACGCUAAUACCGCAUACGACCUACGGGUGAAAGCAGGGGAUCUUCGGACCUUGCGCGAUUGUAUGAGCCGAUGUCGGAUUAGCUAGUUGGCGGGGUAAAGGCCCACCAAGGCGACGAUCCGUAGCUGGUCUGAGAGGAUGAUCCGCCCCCCUGGAACUUAGCCACGGUCCAGACUCCUACGGGAGGCAGCAGUGGGGAAUAUUGGACAAUGGGCGCAAGCCUGAUCCAGCCAUACCGCGUGGGUGAAGAAGGCCUUCGGGUUGUAAAGCCCUUUUGUUGGGAAAGAAAAGCAGCAGGUUAAUACCCCGCUGUUCUGACGGUACCCAAAGAAUAAGCACCGGCUAACUUCGUG